rnacentral:lncRNA from 1 species
UUCCAUCCAAAAAUAGCAAAGAGUANUUGACCUUGUGGAGAAUACUCAUCUUGAAGCUUUUUGGCCAUCCCUCUUGUGAUAGGUCCUAUGGUGCUAGACCUUCUUGUAUCAUCCCCUCCCUCUUGAGAAGGAUUUGUCCUCAAAUCCAAAGGCUCUUCAUCAUCACUUUCAUAACCUGCAAAAGGUUUAAGAUCAGAUACAUUAAAGGUAGCAUGAAC